rnacentral:rRNA from 1 species
UACGGAGGGUGCAAGCGUUAUCCGGGUUCACUGGGUUUAAAGGGUGCGUAGGUGGGUAAGUAAGUCAGUGGUGAAAUCUCCGGGCUUAACCCGGAAACUGCCAUUGAUACUAUUUGUCUUGAAUACUGUGGAGGUCAGCGGAAUAUGUCAUGUAGCGGUGAAAUGCUUAGAUAUGACAUAGAACACCAAUUGCGAAGGCAGCUGGCUACACAAAUAUUGACACUGAGGCACGAAAGCGUGGGGAUCAAACAGG